rnacentral:rRNA from 1 species
UACGAAGGGGGCUAGCGUUGUUCGGAUUUACUGGGCGUAAAGCGCACGUAGGCGGAUCUUUAAGUCAGAGGUGAAAUCCCAAGGCUCAACCUUGGAGCUGCCUUUGAUACUGGGGAUCUUGAGUCCGGGAGAGGUGAGUGGAACUGCGAGUGUAGAGGUGAAAUUCGUAGAUAUUCGCAAGAACACCAGUGGCGAAGGCGGCUCACUGGCCCGGUACUGACGCUGAGGUGCGAAAGCGUGGGGAGCAAACAGG